rnacentral:lncRNA from 1 species
UUUCAAGUAGAAAAGUUGAUGAAGUUUUCAUGUUACAAAAAAUGCAUGCUGAUUAAAGUAGCUUCAGUAAAUUUUAAUGCUUUGUCAGAUUUUAAAAUUUCAACACCCAUAUUUUCAGUUAUUAAAGAAUGGACAUGUUUAAUAAAUCAAAAAACAUUAAGCUUACCUGCACUUGUAUUGGAUGAAAGCAUACCACCAGCUACUGCAGCUUUACAAAAUGUUCAGUUGGAAGAAUUAUUAUUUUUACAUAAACAUAUAUUAUCAUUAGAAGAAGCAAUUCAACUUGAAUAAGAUACUGUAGAACAAAGUUCUUCUCAACUUUGGAAAAAUGCUC